rnacentral:rRNA from 2 species
ACGGAAGGCAGCAGUGGGGAAUAUUGGACAAUGGGGGAAACCCUGAUCCAGCGACGCCGCGUGAGUGAAGAAGUAUUUCGGUAUGUAAAGCUCUAUCAGCAAGGAAGAAAAUGACGGUACUUGACUAAGAAGCUCCGGCUAAAUACGUGCCAGCAGCCGCGGUAAUAAGUAUGGAGCAAGCGUUAUCCGGAUUUACUGGGUGUAAAGGGAGCGUAGACGGCAAAGCAAGUCUGAAGUGAAAUCCCGGGGCUCAACCCCGGAACUGCUUUGGAAACUGUUUAGCUAGAGUGCAGGAGAGGUAAGCGGAAUUCCUAGUGUAGCGGUGAAAUGCGUAGAUAUUAGGAGGAACACCAGUGGCGAAGGCGGCUUACUGGACUGUAACUGACGUUGAGGCUCGAAAGCGUGGGGAGCAAACAGGAUUAGAUACCCUGGUA